rnacentral:tRNA from 6 species
CCGCCCAUAGCUCAGCCCGGUAGAGCACCUGCCUUUUAAGCAGAGGGUCCCAGGUUCAAAUCCUGGUGGGCGGA